CGACGGCGACAAACAUUCAGCGGCGACGCGAUCGGACGAGGUGGCGGUCGCCGGGUUCGCUGCCCUUCUUAUUUUUGUUGUUUGGUAGAAAAAUCAGAAAAAAAUCUACCGAAAAAUUGUGUUUGUUAGUACAGCGAGACGCCAGAGAUGCCCUCGGACGUGGAGGAAACGGAGUACAGAGAGGAGGAGGAGGAACAAGGGGAAGGGGAAGAAGAAGAACAAGAUCAAGGUGAUUCAAAUGAAGAAGAACAAGAUGAAGAGUGGGGUGGAGGAAAACGGAAACGAAAGAAAAGUAAAAAGAGAAAGUCCUCACGCGGUGAGCGUGGGCGGAAAAAACGAAAGAAGAAAGAUGAGAGUGAGAGUGAAGGUGAAUAUGAAGAAGAGGGUGGCCGUGUUGACUCAGACAAUCAAGAAGAAACCCCAAAAGGAAGGGGUCGUGGAAAAGGACGUGGGAGGCCUCCUGCAACUCCCACAGCAACUGUACCAGAAUCAAAUGAUUUCACAGGUGGAGGAGAUCAAAUGCCAACAGUUGCUGAGGUGUGUGAAAGCUUUGGGCUGAAUGAUGUCGAAUUGGAGUACACUGACUCAGAUUUUCAGAACCUUACAACUUACAAGUUGUUCCAGCAACAUGUACGUCCACUUCUGGCUAAGGAAAAUCCAAGGGUACCAGUGUCUAAGUUGAUGAUGUUGGUAGCUGCAAAGUGGCGUGAAUUCACGGCUCGCAAUCAGCAGCAGGAAGAGGAGGAGGAAGAUGAAAUUGUAGAAGAGGAGGAAGAAGAGGAACCAGAACCAGCACCGGUACAACAGAUAACACCCAAGGGUCGGGGACGCCCUAGAAAAGCCAAGGUAGAUGAAGAAGUAGAGGAAGACUUUGAUGAUGAUAGUGAAGGCGUUGGUAAGAAAAAACGUGGCCGAAAACGCACUGCUACAGCAGAAGGGAAAAGCAAAAAGGGUGGAAAAGUUCCAACUUUGAAGAUUAAGUUAGGGAAGAGGAAGAAGGACACCUCGGUGAGUCUGGAGGAUGAAUCAAGCCAAGACAGUGAUGCAGAGUUUGAGCAAAUGCUGGCUGAGGCAGAGGACAUGAACAAGGCAGAAGAUGAGGCAGAACAGCAAAAUGCACCCAAAAAGAAAGCCAAAACCAAGAUUGGCAACAAAAAUAAACGUAAAAAACGUAUGAAGGCUAAAGAUGAGGAUGGAUACGAAACCGAUCAUCAAUCUCCCCCAAAUCAGGAUUACUGCGAGGUAUGUCAGCAGGGUGGUGAGAUCAUCCUUUGUGACACUUGUCCUAAGGCUUACCAUCUGGUGUGUCUUGAACCAGAAUUGGAAGAGGCUCCUGAGGGCAAGUGGUCAUGCCCCACUUGUGAGUCAGAGGGAGUCAAGGAAGAAGAUGAACAUAUGGAGUACUGUAAAGUUUGUAAGGAUGGUGGUGAACUUCUUUGCUGUGAUUCAUGUGUGAAUGCAUACCAUACAUAUUGCUUGUCGCCACCCUUGUUUGAAGUACCUGAAGGAGAAUGGACUUGUCAGCGCUGUGCUUGUGAGCCUUUGCCAGGAAAAGUCCAGAAGAUCCUAUUCUGGAGAUAUGUUGACCCUCCAAAGCCACCAGAGAAUUGGAAGGAGAUUGUUGGAGACAAAUGGGAAAAAUAUCAGUUCAAACAGUUGCGCGAGUUUUUGGUGAAGUGGGUUGACAUGUCCUACUGGCACUGCUCUUGGAUUUCAGAACUCAUGCUGGAUGUACAUCAUCCUCAGAUGUUGCGUUCAUACUUCAAAAAGUUUGAUCCAGAUGAGCCUCCUGUACCUGGUAUGGAUGAUGAUGAUGAAGUAGGUUCACAAAGACGUGGCAAAAGCAUUGAUCCGAACUCCUUGGAAGAAAGAUAUUACAAAUAUGGAAUCAAGUCCACCUGGUUGAAAAUCCAUCGUGUGUUGAACCAUCGUUCUUUACGGGAUGGAACCAUACAGUAUCUUGUGAAAUGGCGAGACUUACCCUAUGACCAAGCUACAUGGGAAGAUGAGGAUGAGGAGAUUAUUGGCUUAAAAACUGCAAUUGAGUUUUAUCAUGAUCUGAGAGCAGCAUGUAAUGCUGAUGCUGUUGGUAAGAGUAAGAAGGGGAAAAAGAAAGGCAAGGCAAGGGCACGAGAAUUGGGUGAGGAAGAUCGUGAGCCCUCUUCACCCCGGCGAUACACUCCUCCUCCUGAUAAACCAGUAACCAACCUCAGUAAGAAGUGGGAGAAGCAGCCAGACUACUUGGACAUGACUGGGCUCUCACUUCACGAGUAUCAGCUUGAGGGUGUGAAUUGGUUAAGAUAUUCUUGGGGUCAGGGAACAGACACCAUCUUGGCCGAUGAGAUGGGUCUUGGAAAGACAAUUCAGACAAUUGCAUUUUUGUAUUCACUGUACAAAGAAGGACACUCCAAAGGUCCCUUCCUUGUUGCUGUCCCACUCUCCACCAUCAUAAAUUGGGAAAGAGAGUUUGAGAUGUGGGCCCCAGAUUUCUAUGUUGUCACAUAUGUAGGCGACAGAGAAUCACGAUCUAUGAUUCGUGAGCACGAAUUGUCAUUUGAAGAAGGAGCAGUGCGAAGUGCAUCAAAAGCCACACGUAUCCGUACAACAAAUGUAAAGUUCAAUGUACUUCUAACUUCCUAUGAGAUGAUAUCUAUGGAUCAAGCUUGCUUAGGAUCAUUAGAGUGGGCCUGCUUGGUUGUAGAUGAAGCUCACAGAUUGAAGAGUAACCAGUCUAAGUUCUUCCGUGUGCUGAACCAGUACAACAUCGUUUAUCGUCUUCUUUUAACUGGAACCCCACUUCAAAACAACCUGGAGGAACUUUUCCAUUUACUCAACUUCUUGUGUCCUGAAAAAUUCUCUGAUCUAUCUUCCUUCCAAAAUGAAUUUGAAGAUAUUGCAAAAGAAGAUCAGAUUAAGAAACUACAUGAUUUACUUGGACCUCACAUGUUGAGAAGAUUGAAGACUGAUGUACUCAAGAACAUGCCAACCAAGUCAGAGUUCAUCAUUCGUGUGGAGUUAUCACCACUGCAGAAGAAAUACUACAAAUACAUUCUUACUCGUAAUUUUGAGGCCCUUAACUCAAGAGGAGGAGGCCAACAGGUUUCUUUGCUCAACAUUGUUAUGGAUCUGAAGAAGUGUUGCAACCAUCCAUACCUCUUCCCAGCAGCAGCAGAAGAGGCCCCUAAACUGCCAAAUGGGAUGUAUGUAAGCAGAGACCUUGUGAAGGCCAGUGGCAAGUUCAUUCUCUUGGAGAGUAUGUUGGAGAAGCUCAAACGUGAUGGUCAUCGUGUGUUGAUUUUCUCUCAGAUGACAAGGAUGUUGGAUGUCCUGGAAGACUUCUGUGAGGGCAUGGGCUACAAAUAUGAAAGAAUUGAUGGUGGCAUCACUGGUCAAGCUCGUCAAGAGGCCAUUGAUAGGUUCAAUGCUCCAGGUGCCCAGCAGUUUAUUUUCUUAUUGUCUACUCGUGCGGGUGGUUUAGGUAUCAACUUGGCCACUGCAGAUACUGUCAUCAUCUACGAUUCAGAUUGGAAUCCACAUAACGAUAUUCAAGCUUUCUCCAGAGCUCAUCGUAUUGGUCAGGCAAAUAAGGUGAUGAUUUACCGGUUUGUGACUCGUAACUCUGUGGAGGAAAGAGUCACACAGGUUGCCAAGAGAAAGAUGAUGUUGACCCACUUGGUUGUCCGUCCUGGAAUGGGAUCAAAAGCCACAAACUUCUCCAAACAAGAAUUGGAUGAUAUCUUGAGGUUUGGUACUGAAGAACUUUUCAAAGAGGAGGAGGGCAAGGAGGAUGAAGCUAUCCAUUAUGAUAACCAGGCAAUUGAGGAACUCCUUGACCGUACAAAGGAGGGUAUUGAACAGAAGGAGAACUGGGCUAAUGAGUACCUCAGCUCUUUCAAGGUUGCUUCAUAUGUUACCAAAGAAGGGGAAGAGGAGGAAAUGGAGGAUGUUGAGGUUUUGAAGCAAGAAGCAGAUAAUACAGAUUCCCUUUACUGGGAACGACUUUUGCGCCAUCACUUCGAGCAACAACAGGAAGAUCUGGCAAGAACACUUGGAAAGGGUAAACGAGUCAGGAAACAGGUGAACUAUAACGAUGCAGCAGAUGGUAGAGAAGAUCUUAGCUGGCAAGAACAAGGAUCAGACUACAACUCUGACUUCUCCAUGCCAUCAGAUAAUGAUAAUGAUGAUGAAUUUGAUGAAAAGAAUGAAACUGAAGGAGGUCGUAGAUCACGCCGUCGUGGUGACAGAGGUGACCGUGAUCGUCCAUUGCCACCACUUCUUGCCCGAGUUGGAGGAAAUAUUGAAGUUCUGGGAUUCAAUGCCAGACAGCGCAAGGCUUUCCUUAAUGCAGUUAUGCGUUAUGGAAUGCCCCCUCAAGAAGCCUUCAACUCUCAAUGGUUGGUUCGAGACCUUCGAGGCAAGAGUGAGAAGUGCUUCAGAGCAUACACAUCUCUCUUCAUGCGCCAUUUGUGUGAACCUGGUAAUGACAAUGCUGAAACAUUUGCUGAUGGAGUGCCUCGUGAAGGAUUAAGUAGACAACACGUUCUCACCAGAAUCGGAGUGAUGUCACUCAUUCGCAAAAAGAUUUCAGAGUUUGAGACAAUCAAUGGCCAUUACUCAAUGCCAGAAGCUCUAAAUAGGCCUGUUGAGCCAGCUGUAGUUGAUGGUGGCAAAAGCAAUGGAACAUCUGCUUCUGGCACACCAGCAACAAGUGUAACUCCAUCUCCAGCACCAUCUGUGAAGGGAGAAUCAGAAGACAAGGAAGAGGACAAAAAGGAAGAAGCUAAGAAAGAAGAUGACAAGAAGGCUGAAGAUAAAGAAAAGAAGGAUGAAAAGGAGACAGAAAAGGAAGAAGAAAAGAAGGAAGAGAAGGUAGAAAAGAAGGAGGAAGAAAAAACUGAAGGAGAAAAAGAAAAGAAGGAUGAACCUGCUGAAACCCCAGAAGUGAAGGCAGAGGAAGAAGAAAAGAAGGAAACAGAACAAACUGAGAAGAAGGAGGAACCAGAGAAGAUGGAAGUAGAGGAGACCAAGAAGGAAGAGGAGAAGAAGGAGGAAGUGAAAAUGGAAACUGAAGAAAAAGAACAGAAGGAAGAACAGAAGACUGAAGAGAAGGAAGAGGCUGAGGUCAAGGCUGAAAAAGUUGAGAAGACAGAGGAGGAUAAGGAGGCUGAAAAGAAGGAAGAAGUCAAGAAAGAGGAGGAGGAGAAGGAAGAUGAGAAAGACAAAGAGAAAGAAAAGGAGAAGGAAGGAGAUAAAGAUAAGGACAAGGACAAAGAUAAGAAGGAGGAAGAUGAUAAGAAAGAUUCCAAGAAGAAGGAUGUGGAUUCCGUGGCAAAGAGAAAGUUCAUGUUCAACAUUGCUGAUGGUGGGUUCACUGAGCUGCACACACUGUGGCAAAACGAGGAAAAGGCAGCUGUUCCCGGCCGCGAGUAUGAGAUCUGGCACCGCAGACAUGAUUAUUGGCUGCUUGCUGGUAUUGUUACCCAUGGGUAUGGAAGGUGGCAAGACAUCCAGAACGAUGUCAGGUUUGCCAUCAUCAAUGAGCCAUUCAAGAUGGAUGUGGGCAAGGGUAAUUUCUUGGAAAUUAAGAACAAAUUCCUUGCCAGAAGGUUCAAGCAGCUGUUAGAGCAAGCACUGGUCAUUGAGGAACAGCUGCGUCGUGCAGCAUUCCUUAACUUGCAACAGGAUCCUCAUCAUCCUGCGUGUACCUUGAAUGCUCGUUUCGCUGAAGUGGAAUGUCUGGCUGAAUCACACCAGCACCUCAGCAAGGAGUCCCUGGCUGGAAAUAAGCCAGCAAAUGCAGUCCUAAAUAAGGUGCUGAACCAGCUGGAAGAGCUGCUGUCAGACAUGAAGUCUGAUGUCACACGGUUACCUGCUUCCCUUGCUCGUAUUCCCCCUGUGGCCCAGCGUCUCCAAAUGUCUGAGCGUUCUAUCCUAUCUCGCCUGGCCUCAGGCGCGGGUAAUGUGGACAAAAGCGCUCAAGGAGCAGGUGAGGGUCAGAUUUCGACCACAUUCCCCGGUGGCUUCACCCCUACUGGUGCGCUGCCAACCCUGGGUAACGCCAACUUUGCUAACUUCCGACCCCAAUAUUCACUACCGGGAGCUGCAACAGGACCAGGUGCUGUGCAGGCUGCCUUCCCAGGUAUCCCUCCCAUGGCUGCCAACCCUGCCUCCAAGUAGACCCCUGCUGAUGCUGCUGAUGCUACUCCUGCUGCUACUGCUGCUCUGCGUGGCCCAGUGUGACACUAACCCAGCUCGGUGUGCCAUCUGUGCAGGUGAGCAGCCUCCAGAGCCUGGGUGCAAGCCUUCACAUGCUUGCUGCCUCCAACCCUCUACUGGACCCACACUUGAGCAUGCAGCAGCCCCCAACCUCUCACAGUGGGGCAAUAUCUGCUGCCACUCGAGCAUCCCUUCUUCUUCACCAACAGCAACAGCAGCAACUCCAGCAGCAUUCAGGAGACACAAAAAACCUGAUAUACUUGGAUUAGAACCAAACAUGGGAUCGAUGACUUGUACCACAACCAGAUUUUAUUUUUAUUUGAUUUAGAUUUUGUUUUCAUUAUUUAUUUUAACCCUCCACCUAGAAAUGUGCAGUCAGUUUAGUCAUUCCGAGAGAUUUAGGCAGACUUGUUUGAAUUUAUGUAAUCUCAUCGAUGUAUAAGAUACCUGUGGUAGAUUUCCUAAGUGAUCUCAAAGGUCUUUGUAUCCACAAGAUCUAGUUCUUACUUUAAAGGCUUAAUGUAAGAUUUUUAUGUAAUGUCAACUAAAUGGUAACAUAAAAUACCAUUAGAA